UACGGGGGGAGCAAGCGUUGUUCGGAUUUACUGGGCGUAAAGGGCGCGUAGGCGGUCAGCACAAGUCAGUUGUGAAAUCUCCGAGCUUAACUCGGAACGGUCAACUGAUACCGUGCGACUAGAGUGCGGAAGGGGCAACUGGAAUUCUCGGUGUAGCGGUGAAAUGCGUAGAUAUCGAGAGGAACACCUGCGGCGAAGGCGGGUUGCUGGGCCGACACUGACGCUGAUGCGCGAAAGCCAGGGGAGCGAACGGG
rnacentral:rRNA from 1 species